UACGUAGGGGGCUAGCGUUGUCCGGAUUUAUUGGGCGUAAAGAGCGUGUAGGCGGCCAGGUAGGUCUGGUGUGAAAACUCGAGGCUUAACCUCGAGAUGUCAUCGGAAACCAUCUGGCUAGAGUCCGGAAGAGGAGAGUGGAAUUCCUGGUGUAGCGGUGAAAUGCGCAGAUAUCAGGAGGAGCACCAAUGGCGAAGGCAGCACUCUGGGACGUGACUGACGCUGAGACGCGAAAGCGUGGGGAGCAAACAGG
rnacentral:rRNA from 1 species